AUUGAACGCUGGCGGCAGGCUUAACACAUGCAAGUCGAGCGGGGACUUCGGUCCUAGCGGCGAACGGGUGAGGAAUGCUUGGGAAUCUGCCCAGUAGUGGGGGAUAACGUGUCGAAAGGAACGCUAAUACCGCAUACGUCCUACGGGAGAAAGGGGGGGAUCUUCGGACCUCUCGCUAUUGGAUGAGCCCAAGUCGGAUUAGCUAGUUGGUGGGGUAAAGGCCUACCAAGGCGACGAUCCGUAGCUGGUCUGAGAGGAUGAUCAGCCACACUGGAACUGAGACACGGUCCAGACUCCUACGGGAGGCAGCAGUGGGGAAUAUUGGACAAUGGGCGAAAGCCUGAUCCAGCCAUGCCGCGUGUGUGAAGAAGGCCUUCGGGUUGUAAAGCACUUUAAGUGGGGAGGAAUGGCUCUUGGUUAAUAACCUUGAGCAGUGACGUUACCCACAGAAUAAGCACCGGCUAACUCUGUGCCAGCAGCCGCCGUAAGAC
rnacentral:rRNA from 1 species